AAGGAUCAUCACAGGAUCUUUAUAUCUACACACCGUGAACAGUAUGCUUUAGCAGGCCCGAGUUGGCGGGAGAAGAGAGGACGCUGCGGGAUGGGGUGGCUGCGGUGUCGCCUCGACCUCGUGUCUUGGCGGCGCCGCGUCCCUCGUCUUGUCCGUCCUUGACGCGUGUCUCCUGCAGCAGCUGCUGCAGUGAGCGCCCGCCACUCGUCUGCGUUUACAAUAAACUCUUAUACACUCUUUACUGAUACAUUUUACCAUAACCAAUACAACUUUCAACAAUGGAUCUCUUGGUUCUC
rnacentral:misc_RNA from 1 species